rnacentral:rRNA from 1 species
GACCUACGGGACGCAGCAGUGGGGGAUAUUGCACAAUGGGGGAAACCCUGAUGCAGCGACGCCGCGUGGGCGAAGAAGUAUUUCGGUAUGUAAAGCCCUAUCAGCAGGGAAGAAGAAAUGACGGUACCUGAGUAAGAAGCACCGGCUAAAUACGUGCCAGCAGCCGCGGUAAUACGUAUGGUGCAAGCGUUAUCCGGAUUUACUGGGUGUAAAGGGAGCGUAGACGGCUGUGCAAGUCUGAAGUGAAAGCCCAGGGCUCAACCCUGGGACUGCUUUGGAAACUGUGGAGCUAGAGUGCUGGAGAG